rnacentral:lncRNA from 1 species
AAACAGGCACAAUCAACAGCAUGGCCAAUGGAACAUCAUUAUGCAUCAUUAGCAACAAACCAAACAAAAUCCUGAGAAAAUUCUGGACAGGGCAUAAGUUUGGAUAGCAGUAGUAUCAAUUCAUUAUCAGUCUACAGCAUAACCAAUAGCACAGCAAUAACAAUAUGUUCAUACAAAUACAAGCAACAACAGCCAAUGAACUUCACAAUUUUUCUGGAUUCUCAUGCAUACUUUAG